UACGGGGGGGGCAAGCGUUGUUCGGAAUUACUGGGCGUAAAGGGCUCGUAGGCGGCCAACUAAGUCAGACGUGAAAUCCCCAGGCUCAACCUGGGAACUGCGUCUGAUACUGGUUGGCUUGAAUCCGGGAGAGGGAUGCAGAAUUCCAGGUGUAGCGGUGAAAUGCGUAGAUAUCUGGAGGAACACCGGUGGCGAAGGCGGCAUCCUGGACCGGCAUUGACGCUGAGGCGCGAAAGCUAGGGGAGCAAACGGG
rnacentral:rRNA from 1 species